UACGUAGGCAGCGAGCGUUGUUCGGAGUUACUGGGCGUAAAGGGUGUGUAGGCGGUUCUUUAAGUUUGGUGUGAAAUCUCCCGGCUCAACCGGGAGGGUGCGUCGAAUACUGAGGGACUAGAGUACGGGAGAGGAAAGUGGAAUUCCUGGUGUAGCGGUGAAAUGCGUAGAUAUCGGGAGGAACACCUGCGGUGUAGACGGCUUACUGGACCAUAACUGACGCUGAGGCACGAAAGCGUGGGUAGCAAACAGG
rnacentral:rRNA from 1 species